CUUGGUGCCUCGUGGAUUUAUGCAUGUGACAGUGAAAAUAAAUUAAAACACUGUGAGACGGAACCUAAGAAGAACGGCCUGCAGAAAUACAGCCCUGUCUGAAGUGGCAAAGAGCGGAAAUAAGGGAGGAGAAUAAUCAAUCAUCACAUGCCUAUUUCACGGGAGAAAUGAUGGAAACGGAUAAUAGUCGCCUCUCGCCAAAGGUGGAAAAAGUGGAAAUGAGCUACUCAGAGGAUGCUAUUGGACUCCAGCUAAAUUCACAACUCUGCGGGUGACCGUCACCUCCGUACUCCCAGCCAACCUCCUGAUCCUGGCACCCCAGGUGGACAAACUUUCACGAAGCCUCCAGACACACGGCCGCGAGGGCAGCAGGAACCACCGUCUGCUUUUUCUUGUCACGGGUCGCGGGAUCCCAUCCAACACCACAAGCAGCCAGGGCAGCCUGGCCUUGCUUGGUCCCGUGGGCGGCAUGCCUCCUCCAUCCGCCGCGGGAUGCGACUGUGGCCGCACGAGGUAGGGGCCAGGCGACCAGCUGGUCACACGCUUGCAGAGGAAGGCCAGGUACUUUAACUUGUUCCUGAGAAAUAGCCAUUAAGGAUGUUCAUGCCCACUCAGCAUGUGACUACUACCUUCCCGCCCAGAGUACCACCUGCUUGGCCAUGAUGGGUGCCUGGUAGCCCAGGAGAUGGCCUCAGCCAUCAAGCACCAGACCUGCCUUACUGCCAUCUUCAGCAGAAACCUGGGGACAAGUUUUCAUUGAACAAAUGUUUAUUGAGCACCUACUAUUUACGUUACACAGACCUAUGCACUGAAAAUACACCUGUGAAGAAAGCCAUAUUCCUGUCUUCCUGGACCUUACUUUCAGAGUGGAAGAGACAGAAAAUCAAUAAACAAAUAGGUAACAGUAACAAAUCUGAUAUGAAUCAGUACAGUUCAGAAAAGUAAGGCAUGGCAAGGAGAGGGAGAGAAAUUUGGGUUCUAUUUGAGAUAAGGUGGUCAGAGAAGGCUUCUGUGAUGAGGUGACGCUGAGCAGGGACUUGAACGCUGAGUAGCAAGUCAUGUGGGCAAAAAUGGAACGAGAGCAAAGAGAGGGCUUGGCAUAUUGGAGGCAUGGUAAAUAGGGUUGGGAGGUGGAAAAGAGGAAGUGUGGGUCAAACAGGGCUUCAGUGAGGAAUUUGAAUUUUAUUCUAAUUGUGAUGGAGACCACUGGAUGGUCUCAAGCAGGGGAAUGACAUUUUAAAAGGCCAAUGUGGCUGCUAUGGGUGGAAUGGAUUGCAGGUGGAAUCAAGAAAACCAGUCAGGAGGCUACUGUGGUUCUCAGGCAACAGAUGAUGUGGCUUGGACUAGGGGGGAGUGAUGGAGCUGGGGAGAAGGGGCUGAUUUCUGGAUCGAUUUUGAAGACAGAUUAGAUUGGACCUACUGAUGGGCUGGAUAUUGGGUGUGAGGGAAAGAGAAUAGCCAAGGAGGACCCAAGGUUUUCUUUUAUAUUUAUUCAUUGGAAAAAGUGCUGAGCUUUAUGCAGGCAUGUGCUAGGCACCGGAGAUGUAAAGAUGAACAAGACACAAUUAGUGCCUUCAAGGAGUCACAGUGUACUACUUCAGAUCUCUAGACUUUGAGGGGCAAGUACAGAGUGCUGUGAAGUGGGUACGGAGAGAACAGAUUGUUCUGUAUUUCGGACUUGGGGGAGGUUUUGGUUUUAGUUCGAGUUUGAAGGGAAAAUAAGAGUUCACUGGAUGCAGAAAGUAGGAAAGAGUAUUCAAGAAGGUGGUAUCAGCAAGAGCUCAGUGGGUUGUGGGAAUGAUAAGGGGUGCCUGGGCUAGUGAUAGAAGAGGGGGCUGGAAAAUCAGGUUGGGUACCUGGGAACCCUAGGUACUAGCUAAGGAGUGAGAACUUCAUCCUAAAGACAGUGAGAAGAGUUUUAAGCAGGAGAGUGAUAAGGGUGAUCCUUCCUCUUUAUCUAACAGGUGAGUUAACUCACUGAUGCUUGAACUAAAACUUGUUAAGUGUGUGUUGUUUCAGUCUGAGUACCAUAUUUUAGAUUUCCUUUAUCAAGAAAUGAAAUUUCUUUUUAUCUUAUUGGUAUUGGCAAAAGCAGAAGCACUACUGCCCUUAGGAUGGAUAAAUACUAUUAAUCUUGCAGUUAAUGUUUAUUGAACAUCAGGGACUUCCCUGGUGGCGCAGUGGUUAAGAAUCUGCCUGCCAAUGCAGGGAACAUGGGUUCGAGCCCUGGUCCGGGAAGAUCCGACAUGCCGCGGAGCAA